rnacentral:rRNA from 1 species
GCAGGGGAUCGCAAGACCCUGCGCUGAUUGAGCGGCCGAUAUCAGAUUAGCUUGUUGGUGAGGUAAAAGCUCACCAAGGCGACGAUCUGUAGCGGGUCUGAGAGGAUGAUCCGCCACACUGGAACUGAGACACGGUCCAGACUCCUACGGGAGGCAGCAGUGGGGAAUUUUGGACAAUGGGGGCAACCCUGAUCCAGCCAUGCCGCGUGAGUGAAGAAGGCCUUCGGGUUGUAAAGCUCUUUCAGCCGGGAAGAAAACGUAUGGGUUAAUACCCUGUGCGGAUGACGGUACCGGAAUAAGAAGCACCGGCUAACUACGUGCCAGCAGCCGCGGUAAUACGUAGGGUGCGAGCGUUAAUCGGAAUUACUGGGCGUAAAGCCUGCGCAGGCGGUUUUGUAAGAUAGGCGUGAAAUCCCCGGGCUUAACCUGGGAACUGCGUUUAUGACUGCAAGGCUAGAGUACGGCAGAGGGGGGUGGAAUUCCACGUGUAGCAGUGAAAUGCGUAGAGAUGUGGAGGAACACCAAUGGCGAAGGCAGCCCCCUGGGUCGAUACUGACGCUCAUGCACGAAAGCGUGGGUAGCAAACAGGAUUAGAUACCCUGGUAGUCCACGCCCUAAACGAUGUCAACUAGGUGUUGGGAGGGUAAAACCUUUUAGUACCGGAGCUAACGCGUGAAGUUGACCGCCUGGGGAGUACGGCCGCAAGGUUAAAACUCAAAGGAAUUGACGGGGACCCGCACAAGCGGUGGAUGAUGUGGAUUAAUUCGAUGCAACGCGAAAAACCUUACCUACCCUUGACAUGCCAAGAACUUUCCAGAGAUGGAUUGGUGCCCGAAAGGGAGCUUGGACACAGGUGCUGCAUGGCUGUCGUCAGCUCGUGUCGUGAGAUGUUGGGUUAAGUCCCGCAACGAGCGCAACCCUUGUCGUUAAUUGCCAUCAUUCAGUUAGGCACUUUAGCGAGACUGCCGGUGACAAACCGGAGGAAGGUGGGGAUGACGUCAAGUCCUCAUGGCCCUUAUGGGUAGGGCUUCACACGUCAUACAAUGGUCGGUACAAAGGGUCGCCAAGCCGCGAGGUGGAGCCAAUCCCAGAAAGCCGAUCGUAGUCCGGAUUGCAGGCUGCAACUCGCCUGCAUGAAGUCGGAAUCGCUAGUAAUCGUGGAUCAGAAUGUCACGGUGAAUACGUUCCCGGGUCUUGUACACACCGCCCGUCACACCAUGGGAGCGGGUUCCGCCAGAAGUAGGUAGCCUAACCGCGAGGGGGGCGCUUACCACGGCGGGGUUCGUGACUGGGGUGAAGUCGUAACAAGGUA